rnacentral:rRNA from 1 species
GCGAAGCUUUGAAUUUAAGCCCCAGUAAACGGCGGCCGUAACUAUAACGGUCCUAAGGUAGCGAAAUUCCUUGUCGGGUAAGUUCCGACCCGCACGAAAGGCGUAAUGAUUUGAGCACUGUCUCGACAAUACAUCCGGUGAAAUUGAAGUACCAGUGAAGAUGCUGGUUACCCGCGCCAGGACGGAAAGACCCCAUGGAGCUUUACUCCAGCUUGAUACUGGGAUUCGGUAUUGCAUGUACAGGAUAGGUGGGAGGCUAGGAAAUGGUAACGCCAGUUGCCAUGGAGCCAAUGUUGGGAUACCACCCUUGCAGUACUGGGUUUCUAACCAGCAGCCGUGAUCCGGCUGGGGGACAAUGUCAGGUGGGGAGUUUGACUGGGGCGGUCGCCUCCGAAAGGGUAUCGGAGGCGCUCAAAGGUUCCCUCAGAAUGGUUGGAAACCAUUCGAAGAGUGCAAAGGCAGAAGGGAGCUUGACUGCGACACCGACGGGUGGAGCAGGUACGAAAGUAGGACUUAGUGAUCCGGUGGUAUAAAGUGGGAUUGCCAUCGCUCAACGGAUAAAAGCUACCCUGGGGAUAACAGGCUUAUCACUCCCAAGAGUUCACAUCGACGGAGUGGUUUGGCACCUCGAUGUCGGCUCAUCGCAUCCUGGGGCUGUAGUAGGUCCCAAGGGUUGGGCUGUUCGCCCAUUAAAGCGGUACGCGAGCUGGGUUCAGAACGUCGUGAGACAGUUCGGUCCCUAUCCGGCGUGGGCGUAGGAUAUUUGAGAGGAGCUGUCCUUAGUACGAGAGGACCGGGAUGGACUGGCCGCUGGUGUAUCUGUUGCAUACCAAGUGCAUGGCAGAGUAGCCAAGCCGGGACGGGAUAAACGCUGAAGGCAUCUAAGCGUGAAGCCCCCCUCAAGAUGAGAUAUCCCUACGUAAGUAGUAAGACCCCUUGAAGACGACGAGGUAGAUAGGUCAGAGGUGGAAGUACAGUAAUGUAUGGAGCUGACUGAUACUAAUCGGUCGAGGGCAUGACCAA